ACAAGCUAGAGUACUGUAGAGGGGGGUAGAAUUUCAGGUGUAGCGGUGAAAUGCGUAGAGAUCUGAAGGAAUACCGGUGGCGAAGGCGGCCCCCUGGACAGAUACUGACACUCAGAUGCGAAAGCGUGGGGAGCAAACAGGAUUAGAUACCCUGGUAGUCCACGCCGUAAACGAUGUCUACUUGGAGGUUGUGCCCUAGAGGCGUGGCUUUCGGAGCUAACGCGUUAAGUAGACCGCCUGGGGAGUACGGUCGCAAGAUUAAAACUCAAAUGAAUUGACGGGGGCCCGCACAAGCGGUGGAGCAUGUGGUUUAAUUCGAUGCAACGCGAAGAACCUUACCUACUCUUGACAUCCAGAGAAUCUAGCGGAGACGCUGGAGUGCCUUCGGGAGCUCUGAGACAGGUGC
rnacentral:rRNA from 1 species